rnacentral:rRNA from 1 species
AGAGUUCGAUUAUGGCUCAGGACGAACGCUGGCGGCGCGCCUAACACAUGCAAGUCGAACGAGAGAGAGGAAGCUUGCUUCCUCAAUCGAGUGGCGAACGGGUGAGUAACGCGUGAGGAACCUGCCUCAAAGAGGGGGACAACAGUUGGAAACGACUGCUAAUACCGCAUAAGCCCACGACCCGGCAUCGGGUUGAGGGAAAAGGAGCAAUCCGCUUUGAGAUGGCCUCGCGUCCGAUUAGCUAGUUGGUGAGGUAAUGGCCCACCAAGGCGACGAUCGGUAGCCGGACUGAGAGGUUGAACGGCCACAUUGGGACUGAGACACGGCCCAG